rnacentral:rRNA from 1 species
AAAUUGAAGAGUUUGAUCAUGGCUCAGAUUGAACGCUGGCGGCAGGCCUAACACAUGCAAGUCGAGCGGUAGCACAGAGAGCUUGCUCUCGGGUGACGAGCGGCGGACGGGUGAGUAAUGUCUGGGAAACUGCCUGAUGGAGGGGGAUAACUACUGGAAACGGUAGCUAAUACCGCAUAACGUCGCAAGACCAAAGUGGGGGACCUUCGGGCCUCAUGCCAUCAGAUGUGCCCAGAUGGGAUUAGCUAGUAGGUGGGGUAACGGCUCACCUAGGCGACGAUCCCUAGCUGGUCUGAGAGGAUGACCAGCCACACUGGAACUGAGACACGGUCCAGACUCCUACGGGAGGCAGCAGUGGGGAAUAUUGCACAAUGGGCGCAAGCCUGAUGCAGCCAUGCCGCGUGUGUGAAGAAGGCCUUCGGGUUGUAAAGCACUUUCAGCGGGGAGGAAGGCGAUAAGGUUAAUAACCUCAUCGAUUGACGUUACCCGCAGAAGAAGCACCGGCUAACUCCGUGCCAGCAGCCGCGGUAAUACGGAGGGUGCAAGCGUUAAUCGGAAUUACUGGGCGUAAAGCGCACGCAGGCGGUCUGUCAAGUCGGAUGUGAAAUCCCCGGGCUCAACCUGGGAACUGCAUUCGAAACUGGCAGGCUAGAGUCUUGUAGAGGGGGGUAGAAUUCCAGGUGUAGCGGUGAAAUGCGUAGAGAUCUGGAGGAAUACCGGUGGCGAAGGCGGCCCCCUGGACAAAGACUGACGCUCAGGUGCGAAAGCGUGGGGAGCAAACAGGAUUAGAUACCCGUAGUCCACGCCGUAAACGAUGUCGAUUUGGAGGUUGUGCCCUUGAGGCGUGGCUUCCGGAGCUAACGCGUUAAAUCGACCGCCUGGGAGUACGGCCGCAAGGUUAAAACUCAAAUGAAUUGACGGGGCCCGCACAAGCGGUGGAGCAUGUGGUUUAAUUCGAUGCAACGCGAAGAACCUUACCGGUCUUGACAUCCACAGAACUUUCCAGAGAUGGAUUGGUGCCUUCGGGAACUGUGAGACAGGUGCUGCAUGGCUGUCGUCAGCUCGUGUUGUGAAAUGUUGGGUUAAGUCCCGCAACGAGCGCAACCCUUAUCCUUUGUUGCCAGCGGUCCGGCCGGGAACUCAAAGGAGACUGCCAGUGAUAAACUGGAGGAAGGUGGGGAUGACGUCAAGUCAUCAUGGCCCUUACGACCAGGGGCUACACACGUGCUACAAUGGCAUAUACAAAGAGAAGCGACCUCGCGAGAGCAAGCGGACCUCAUAAAGUAUGUCGUAGUCCGGAUUGAGUCUGCAACUCGACUCCAUGAAGUCGGAAUCGCUAGUAAUCGUAGAUCAGAAUGCUACGGUGAAUACGUUCCCGGGCCUUGUACACACCGCCCGUCACACCAUGGGAGUGGGUUGCAAAAGAAGUAGGUAGCUUAACCUUCGGGAGGGCGCUUACCACUUUGUGAUUCAUGACUGGGGUGAAGUCGUAACAAGGUAACCGUAGGGGAACCUGCGGUUGGAUCACCUCCUUACCUUAAAGAA